rnacentral:misc_RNA from 1 species
AAGUCGUAACAAGGUAACCGUAGGUGAACCUGCGGUUGGAUCAUUAACAAUUUGGACGCAUGGGACAAGGGGUGUGAUCCUGCGCAACAGAUGCGCUUCGGCGCCAUCUGCAGUUGCAUCUCCCCUCGUCGCAUCGCGCCCGGCUCACCAACCCCAAGUCAGUGAAUUCUUCACUGGAUUGGGGCGGAACGUGGGGGACCCAUUUGUGAACUGUACUGUCUCUGGCGGUGGGGCACUUCAAAAGUGAACUUCACUCUCGAAGGUGUCUGUCAGUUGGCUGGGCGUCUUAAAAAGCCCUCCGGCCGUGGACAAGCCGCCAACCACUCUUGUGAGUAACGCUUAGCUACAUUGUUUUGGCUAAAAUCCACCUGUAUAUAAAUGGGUUGGACAACUUUUGGCAACGGAUCUCUUGGCUCUC